GAUGAACGCUGGCGGCGUGCCUAAUACAUGCAAGUCGAGCGAACGGACGAGAAGCUUGCUUUUCUGAUGUUAGCGGCGGACGGGUGAGUAACACGUGGAUAACCUACCUAUAAGACUGGGAUAACUUCGGGAAACCGGAGCUAAUACCGGAUAAUAUUUUGAACCGCAUGGUUCAAAAGUGAAAGACGGUCUUGCUUUCACUUAUAGAUGGUUCCGCGCUGCAUUAGCUAGUUGGUAAGGUAACGGCUUACCAAGGCAACGAUGCAUAGCCGACCUGAGAGGGUGAUCGGCCACCCUGGAACUGAGACACGGUCCAGACUCCUACGGGAGGCAGCAGUAGGGAAUCUUCCGCAAUGGGCGAAAGCCUGACGGAGCAACGCCGCGUGAGUGAUGAAGGUCUUCGGAUCGUAAAACUCUGUUAUUAGGGAAGAACAUAUGUGUAAGUAACUGUGCACAUCUUGACGGUACCUAAUCAGAAAGCCACGGCUAACUACGUG
rnacentral:rRNA from 1 species